CAGAGGGUAUUUUAUUUGAAAAUUUUAGUUUUGGAGACUUGCGAAGGGGUUUAAAUGGGCCUUUCCUCUGA
rnacentral:tRNA from 1 species